AUCAUUCUGUGGUUUGUAAGCAUGAUGACUGGGUUUUCAUGCUUACGUGGUAGAAGUGCCUUCCUCAAACUUUGUUACAUCAUUGGCACAUUAAACAUCUGAUG